CUUGUGCCGGUUCAGAGAACAGCAUCCUCCCUCCGUUCACCACACUGAUUCGAUCUUUCCUCUUCCCUUCAAAGUUCCUUAAUCGCUUAGCCCGGGUUUCGCACUAGCUCCACAACCGAAAAUAAAUAUAUUCUGUGUUGGGUCAGGAACUAAGCGAUCUCAGCUAUCUCAGCGAAACUCCACCGCUCCAAUCCUAGACGGUUGGUUGGAUAGCGUCUCUCGGCAAAAAGCUCUUUAAAUGAAAACUGAGUGCUCUGGUGGGGUCUCCUCCGACGGUUAAAGUCUCCCCAAGCAAGCUUUGCCAAAAGUUCAGGGACUUCGAGGAAACCAAACAAAUAUCUGCAAAUGUCUUCGUACUUGACAUUUUCAACCAGUUUCCAGAGCAUGAUGGCAGCCUGUUCUCUAGGAGGCAUCUUUAGGUUCAUAAACCCAUCUAGAGAGGAGCCCUCUGCUGGUGGUUGUUAGCUUAGUAGAAACUGUAUAUCGUAAAUUAUCCAGCUCUGCCACUACUAGGAGUAUACCCCAAAGACAUCAAAGAAGGAGGAAUAGCAUCUAUUUGUAGAACAAUAUUUGUAGCAGUUCUUUUCAUAAUAGUCAAAAUCAGAAACUCAAGGAGCACCUUUAUUGCUUCCCACCUUUAGUGAGGACUGGCUAAACAAUUAGUGUAUAUGAAUGUAAUAGAAUAUUAGUAUGCCAAGAGAACUGACUGAAUGGACAGCUUCAAGGACACUGGAAAGACCUCUACAAGCUAAUGAGUAAACCAAGCUGAGUUAGAACAACUUAACUGAUGAUAGCAUCACAGAAAAAAACAAUUUUGAAACACUUUAGAAUUCUGUUCAAUGCAAAUGACUGAAGAAGAAAUAUGCCACUCACCUCUUGCCAGAGAGAAUGCAAGAUGAGGCAUACAU